rnacentral:tRNA from 1 species
AAGAUUUUAAGUUAAACAAACUAAUAGCCUUCAAAGCUAGAAAUAAAUAAAUAUAUUUAAAUCUUA